CGCUCGUCUCUGUCUCUCCCCCGACUAGCUCCUCCCAAACCCUAUCCUAAUUCCAUCGCCGCCACCCCCACGACUCUCUCUCCCUCCAGAUCUGCUCCGGCACUGUCCGCUCCCGAGUCUCUCCCUCUACGGCGCCGCUCUCCUCCGCCUUCCAAUCGCUCUCCCUCUCUCAUGGCGUGGACUAGCAGCGGCGCCGGGGAAGCCGGUGAAGAUCUCCAAGAGGCAGGAUGAGGGGGUGGUGCCCAAAAAGUGCGUCCCAAGGAACCCUGCGUGGGGCAGUGCCUCCUCAAGAUCUCAACACUCGUCUCACCGACGACAACGCGCCCUGACAAAUGGUCUUCAUACGGAGGGAGGUGCUGUAGCACAAGGGGCAGCCGAUCAGUGUGAUCACGGAUGGUGUGGAUAAGAAUGGGAAGCCACACAAGCUGCAGCCCUAUUCCAUCCCCACCAGCGAGCUGGGGGACUUUGGGCCUUCUGUACAUCCGCCUACUGCCCCACCACAACUGAUGACCACGAUGCAGGGUGGCUGCGGUGCUCCAUCUCUUCUCCAUGAGGUCUCAGGCUACGAUCUUAAUUAGUCCUAUGUAGUCAUAUUUGGAUGAUAGUACUUCACUUGACCACAUAUGGAAUUACUGGAUGCUAUACAACUAAUGGACUCUAGAACUUGACAAUGAAAUUAUGGAAUUACUGGAUGCUAAACGUAAUGAAUUUAUCCUGCAUAAAUCCUCCCCUUCCUCUUUUGUUUGUUAUGCAGGGAAAAAAACAAGUAAAAAAACGAUGCCUUCUCAGUUCUCAUCGAUCUGGUAGCGGCAAGUUCAAUUCUGCAGCCUCGACCAUUUCGGCUGCUCAUCGAAUUGUUUCAUGUUACACUGGUGCAAGCCGGAGAAAAGCCUACUCUGGAUCCUAUUGCAGUUGACAUCUUCUUUGCGUUGCUUUCAUCGGUGAAAAUCCAGAACAAGAAGCACAUAUAUGAUGAUGCAUCACCGGCUGCCUCCACCGCUGUACAACAUUGGACGACCUCCUUAAACCUGUUUUCUCCACCUUUCCUUGCUGAUUCACCGCUGUACAACAUUGGACGACCUCCUUAAACCUGUUUUCUCCACCUUUCCUUGCUGAUUCACCAAUUUGUAGGAAAAUCAGUCUGCCAACUAGACUAGACACUUCAAUUGAUGCCACAUAUUGUUGUACAGAACCUACAAUUUCUGUACAUAUAGAAACAUCAGAUUAGUACUUUUUUGGACACUGAUUUCUCUUCUCUAACUGAAGCAAGUCUCUUAUAUUUACUGAAAGGUAGAACUAACCACUGAUCCUUGACGUGAAUUUCACAUCGCUACUAAACUCUCUUUAUAUCUUUAGAAUAUGAUUAUCAGGAGAUUAUCUUCAUCACAAAUUCAAACGGCAGUUGAGAUGCUAAUAUAAUCAAGAAAUUAUAUGGGUUGACACAUAAAAAAUAUAUUAACUCCAUCUAUUAUCAUGGUUGAUGUACAUGACUAUAUGCUCUCACCUUUUAUGAAAAAACAUGGGUUCCAAUUAUAUGUCUGUCUUCCUAUAAAGAGAACUUCCAUAUAUGCAAAUAAUUAACAUGUAACCCAGUUAACGAAGUUUUUCUUUUGAAGCUAUCAGUCCAUAAACUAACAAAAUACACAUGUAGAAUUACCCCUUUUUCCUCCUCUUCGACCACACAUCUGCUUGUCUGGAUUCUCAACGCCAUCAAUCACCACAUCCCCCGACAACUACGUCCAUGGCUGCUUCUUUCCGUAUGACCUUCUCCCUGUUGUCCUCCUCCCAAGCCAGCAGUCAUGGCAUCCCCAAGCAACAUAAGCCAGCAGCAACAAGCAGCCAAUCUACAAACUGAGGAUUUCAUCCCAUCGCCCUUUGCUAGGAACCAGGUUUCAUUGUAUCCACUAUAUCACCUCGCUUGUUUGUUCAUUUCAUAUUUAAAUAUGUUAUCCAAUAUGAACAAUCCAGUCAUUUUGUAUGUUGUUUUCUUGCCAUUCUAUGCUAAUAUUAUUAUUUGUUCAAAUGCUUAUUUUUUCUCUGAAAUGGCAUGAUCCCCGUCAAAACAAACUAUGUGAAUUGUUAGGUAAUUAAGUUCAAACUGUGAGCCGGAGCGUGAGAGAUCGCCACCGUUAUUGCCUCUACUUGCGCAGCCUACUGCAUGACCGCAACCCCUGGUACAUACCUAUUACCGAAUAAUACACAUGAAUGUGAGAUUCUCCUACCUUAUUUCAAUUCAGUUUGAGGUUGCAUUUUUUGCUGGUUUGUGAGAAUAUCUGGAGUCAGAUAAGGCAUGUCAAAAUGGGUGAUUAAGGUACUUCUAUUUUCAGGAUUUUAACAAGGCUGCCUGGUUUGUCACACUUUUAAAUGAAAAUCAGAAAAUGAUAAUUACAAAUGAUGGACAAAAUCCUUAAUUUAAUAUGUAUAGCCUCUUUGUCUGAAUUAAGACCAAUGCUUACUGAUUGAAUGGUGUCAACAAGUUGGUAUCUAUCAAUUGGCUGUAAUGCUGCUCCAUUAGAUAUUCUGAGCUUAUUUUUAGCUUGCACAUUUUUGUUUCUUUCUUAAUUUAAGGCGGCAUAGGUUUCGGUGAAAGAGGAUCUUACAAAUUGGAUGCCAAUAUUUUUUAUCAAAAGAUUCUUAAAUUUCACGUACCAUCAAGUGACUGGUUUGCGAUCUUCCACACAUUACUUUAGGUAUCUCUUUGCCACAAAAUUCGGUAAAUUUCUUGUGAAUUUAUUUUGAUAUUUUGUCGUGUCUUAAAAGCAAUUGGCUGAUUUUACUCCAGCGUUAGCAUGUGGAAGGUAUCGUAAUUAUUACGGGCACAUCUACAUUCAUGCACAUACACUGAGCUUUAAUCACUUCAUGCAAUUCUCAUUUGAUAUAGUAAGGACAGUUUUGUAAACGACACUCAAUUAUGAUUCUGAUUCGAUAGAUGAUGUUCUCUUACGGAUAUUAGCAAAAAUGUUAUGUAGGUAAUGUUGUUAUUAUUGUUUCCUUCAUCAACAUACACCACGUUAUGUACAGAGCAAUUAUAACUGUCUUAUACUUCUCCUUGGGACACUGCUUAUGUAUUUAUUUCUUCAAUUGAUUUGCCUUACUAAUAGUAUUUUGUUUGUAUUUCGAUGUAAGCAAUUGUAAGUCGGUUAACAUGUAGCACAACUUGAGACAUUGUUUCACAACCCACUGGCAUUUGAUAUUGAGCUUACGGCUUUUAUUAUUGUAGAUCGGAUGGAAUUUUACGACCUCAAAUCUGAGCAAGUGCACAUUCACGCAUCUAUCUUGGUGCAAUGCAAGAAUACUUGACCGUUAUAAUAUGAUGAUGUAGUGUAAUUGUAUCACUGGCCAGAACGC